UGGGCAGUGGGGAGCCAUAGAUGGUCCUUGAGUGAAGGGAUCAGGAGUUGAUUCCUGAAGGAGGCUGCGAGCUCCCAGGGACUGGGCCAGUCCAGGCGGGCAGGGAGGAGCACACGGAGGCCCCUGGCUUUGGGACGUCCUCACGCCUGCGCAUGGGGUACAUCGGCCCGGCAUCAGCACCUCCUCUCAUGUCCGUCCAGUCAGAGCAGCCCCACAGAGUACCCUGUUUCUCUCUCCUGAAGAUAAUCGGGGCCCAAACAAUGUCUUGUCUGCCUGAGAGUGUUCACACGUCACCCUCAGGAGCGAUUGUUUCAAUGUUUGGCUGAAGCAGAGGCUGCGGACGGAGUCCCCUCUCGCUCCAGGCUGCCUCUCAUGCAUGACUCAGGCCUUUGACAUCACCAGGAGAGCCGGGGACAGGCCCAGGGACCCGAGAGGGCUCAGCGAGGGGCUGGCUGGUCACCCAGGCCCCAGCAACCCUGUGCCCCUCACACACAGAGUGCUUUCUCGCCAGGGCCUCUGGGCGGGACCCCCGGGGCUGCACGGGAACCUGCCUCAGCCUGGACCUGGGGGUGGCCCCGGCUGCCAGACGAGGACAUGCAUCCUGCCCAGGGCUGUGGCCCUCAGCCCCCAGCCCCUCGGGGACCCAGGCCCAGCCAAACCCUCCCUGGGCCUCUCUUGACUCCAGCAACUGUGUCCUCCCA
rnacentral:lncRNA from 1 species